rnacentral:lncRNA from 1 species
CUCCUUUUCUCUAAUGGCAUCCUCUUGUCUCGUCCGGAAAGGAUUUGUCGAAAAUGUCGCAUUUGUUAUUCUCUCACUGUGAUCCCAAUUGAUUUCUUCUUCAUCUUCUUUUAUGAACCUGGCUUUCGCAUCUUCUUAGCUCUGGGCCAUUCCUCCGGUGAUUUUGGGUUGCAAUGGUUGGGAAAAUAUUUUUGUUAGAACUUUGUACUAACCGAAUGCUUCAGGAUGGUAUAUGAUUUCUGAAACAAGGUCAUAUGGAUUUGAAAACACCAGCUGGAUUCCGUUCAGAUCUCUGUUCAACUGGAAGACUUUCUCUUCCAUCUUGAUGUUGAAAUCUCUAGCCACAAUGUUGUAUUCUUCAAUACAUUUGCUUCCAUAAAAGAGCUGAGUUGUUCUUUCCAGGGGUAAGCAUCCAAAAGGAGAGAGUCCCGACAAAGACAUCUUCCGAGCUCCGAGUCUGUAUAUAUCUGUCACGAAAUCUGCUGCUAUUCCUAUCAGGAAAUAUUGGUACUCGUUCACUGAGUACUUCCGUAACUUGCGGGGAAGAAGAUAGUAAUUCUCCAGGAAAUCGUUGGUUCCGAUACUAAUCAGGUAAAGUGAUUCACUAAUAAUCUCAUUAGCUUUCUCUUCACCCAAGUAGCUUCUUAGCCUGGUUUGGUAUUCUUUGUAGUAUUCCACUUCCUUCCAUAGCGGCAUUACAGACUUUAGAAAUCGAUGACAAUUCAGAGAAAGCAUGUCAGAAAUCUAAGUCCAGUACAGUAGAAUAUAUAUAUGUUGUAAGAUAUAUAACUAUGCUUGACUUACUAACACGGCAGAGGUUGCAUUGUCUAAGCCGGUUCCAGCUGAAGCGAAACAGACACCAGUGGCAAAGUCUGCAAUGUUGUAUGCUGGAUCUAGGUAGGCAGGGACUGCGUUCUUGAGUCCCAAACCUUCAGAAAUGAAGUCUGGUGCAAUCCGGCCAUUUGAAAAUCUCCCAGUCGCUUUGCCGUCAAAGUAAUCCCGGCCAUAUGGCUGGAAAUUGCUCUUCAGAACAGUAGAAAUCUGGUUGUUGUUGCCUGAAUCAACAGUUGAGUCACCAAAUACGAUAAGUGCGGGAAAUUUUGCACACGUUUCAGGUAUCUUCACCAAGAGCUGAGCUGCUAGCAACAAGAACGCAAGAACUCUGUUUCGCUGCAUGCUUUUUACACAAGUUUUUUCAAUUUUUUGCUUCUGCAAAACAAGAACCUCACGAUUAAUUGGGAAGAACAAUUGGAGCAAGCAUUUAAGAUGGAGAAAGAUAGAGAGUUAGUUGAGGUGAGUAAUGAGCUGAAAAUGAUUGAGAGUUUCAAUAAUAGUUGUGCAGCAGAGAGCCGUAUUUAUAGCUACUAAAAAAGAGAGAAAGACAGAAUAUUUUAAAAUAGAAGGAUUCGUACCAUUGCAAGCUUCAGAUGUAUAUGUAACGCAUCUUCCUUUUUACCGGAUUCACGCUCAAAACUCAACUCUCUGUUCUUGUAUCACUUACUGUUUUUAUUGCUUACUGAGUCUAGAGUCUUGAAUGUAAAGAUUAUUUGCACUUUGGGUGAACUGUGUCGCACGUUUUGG